UACGUAGGGGGCGAGCGUUGUCCGGAUUCAUUGGGCGUAAAGCGCUUUAAGGCGGUUCGCUAAGUCGCGUGUGAAAACUCCAGGCUCAACCUGGAGACGCCACGCGAUACUGGCGUGACUAGAGUUCGGUAGGGGAUCACGGAAUUCCUGGUGUAGCGGUGAAAUGCGCAGAUAUCAGGAAGAACACCCGUGGCGAAGGCGGCUCUCUGGGACGGUACUGACGCUGAGACGCGAAAGCGUGGGGAGCAAACAGG
rnacentral:rRNA from 1 species